UUUAAGAAUCAUUGAAUUCAAUCUUGAAAAUCUGAAUGAGUGGUUUAUGAGCGUAAAAUAGUGAUAUUUAAAACUCGAUUUUAAUUUAUUGAAUGUCGUAAACACAUAAAAUUAAAGAACCGCCAAUAAAACUAGAAAACCCGAACGAAACGACUGAAAUGAGUAGUUUCAUCGGUGGUGUAGAACGGUAAAAUUUGUUCAUUCUCCACAACUGCUGUCAAAGAAACGUACGACCCUUCUCGUCCGUCAAACAAUCGUCGAAAAAAGUGGCCGGCACCACGAAAUCUCACCCGUCAAUAGAAGGACGACUGGAAAAAGUUCCGUGAAAAGGGAGCGCGUAUCGGAGCCCCCGGGGUUCCUCUGUGAGCACUGCAAAGUUUAUGACCCAAUAUUAACUGUCUCCUACGAUAAUUUAUGUUAAUGGUUUCGGGUCCGGGGCCCGGCAGAGCGUACGGUCGGAGCACAGGGACUGCAACGCACGACAGUUGGCAACGAGUCGCAGUGGAAAGUGGUGGUGUGGUGAUCUCCUCGAUACCCGACUCCCCGGCCGGGGCACUAAUUCAAAAAUACACUCACACACGACUUAAUUUUUUCAAUUUUUCUUCUUGACUUGGCUUAACUGGAGCCAUUUCUUCGCGGCCACGCUUCAACUUCGUUGCGACGUGCUCCGACGCGGCGGCGGCGAAGGACGACCAGGGCGCAAUCACGUUCCGUCGCACACAAAAUGGAAUUUCUGGCCCACAUUUCCACAUUGUAGGCGUGCUGUAGGGACGAAACGGCACAAGGACCGGCCGAGCCGGAGGACGGGGGACACGGGAAGGGGUGUGGAAGGGAAGCGGAUUCAACCGGGAACCGGCAACGAUCAUCCCGGGACCCGUAUUCGAAACGAGAACGCCAACUGAACCGGGCAGGGCGAGAAUGGAGGAUGGAGUGUUUUUCGGUUACGUGCCUUGCGGGCUCCGGCUCUUUUACAUGGCGACCAGAAUAAAAAAAUGCAGUUAAACUACUUUUAAGGGGCGUUUAAAUGCUUGGGAAUAAAUGGACAGUGACCGAUGGCACGUAGCGGACUGAGAUGUGGGCAGACGGAAUUGGCGGCGUCCCGGGUGAUGGUAAAACGAGACCCAGACGAUCGAAACUGGUUUUGUAUGGGAGGCUUAAACGCGAAAGGCCUUUCGCGUCCGAAAUGGAAAUAACGUGCAACCUCUGCCGGAGCGGGGAAAUGUGACUCAUUUUAGGAAUCAUGACCACGGGGAGCGAUUACCAGCAAUUGCGUUGGGCUGAGCAGCCGUCGACCAAUAAUUAAAAUGCAAAUGAGAAAUUACCAACGCCACACUCGUGAAAAGGAAGCCAAGACGACUGCAGGAGUAAAUGUAUAAGGUCGAUUAUUUAGAGUUAGAGCAAGGUUUUAUUUGGAGCCACUGAUUUAAGAGAAUCUACGUGGACCAAUUGCAGUUCUUCACGUUAAUGCUCUACAUCUACCCUGUAGAUCCGAAUUUGUUUGAAAUUACGCGACAAAUUCGGUUCUAGAGAGGUUUGUGUGGUGCAUACAAAGCAACGUGACUAAUCAACGUCGGCAGUUAGUUUUAAUUGUUGAAAUAUUAUUAAGUUUGUAUUUUAGUCACGUUUAACAACGUAAUUAUUUGUUAAUUUACUAUAAUGUUAUUAUUCUAUUGUAUAUUUACGUUAUGUAAGUAGUUUUCUUCGUAAUUUGUAAUGUACAUUUGUUAUUAAUAAACUUAUUCUAUUAUGAAA